rnacentral:tRNA from 1 species
GGGCGGGUAGCUCAGGGGUUAGAGCACUACUCUGAUAAAGUAGGGGUCGAAGGUUCAAAUCCUUCUCCGCCCACCA